GUGCUUGCUUCAGCAGCACAUAUACUAAAACUGGAACAAUACAGAUAAGAUUAUCAUGGUCCCUGUGCAAGGACGACAUGCAAAUUUGUGAAGUUUAAUGACAUUGC
rnacentral:snRNA from 1 species